UACGGAGGGUGCAAGCGUUAUCCGGAUUCACUGGGUUUAAAGGGUGUGUAGGCGGGCUGUUAAGUCAGGGGUGAAAUCUCCGGGCUCAACCCGGAAACUGCCAUUGAUACUAUCAGUCUUGAAUCUUGUUGAGGUAGGCGGAAUAUAUCAUGUAGCGGUGAAAUGCUUAGAUAUGAUAUAGAACACCGAUUGCGAAGGCAGCUUACUAAACAAGCAUUGACGCUGAGGCACGAAAGCGUGGGGAUCAAACAGG
rnacentral:rRNA from 1 species